CAAUGAUGAGGAAGAAGCCAAGGAGACGGAGCCUCAGCAGCCCGUUUCGUCGAUCCGUCCAGAGGAAGUCCCGCCCGUCCCGGAGAACCGCUUCCUGAUGAGACGCAGUCCACAGCCUCAGCCUAAAGAGGAGCAGGGGAAGGACAAACAGAAGGAGAAUUCUGGGAAAGAGCGGCAAAGGGAACGGGAGAGGGACAGAGAACGAGACCGAGAGAGAGACAGGGAGAGACCCACGAUGAACUCACGACCAAAUCGCACGCGUCUGGUGAUGACCCGAUCCGGCCGGAAAAACAAGGGAAGAGCGAGAGCCCCAAACCCAGAGAGCGAGCGAAAGACAAAUCACGCAGCCCCAAGAAGGAUCACAAGAAUGAGAAAAAGGACUCGAGCGACAGUGACAGUGACUGAUUCUCCCAUGACCUCCACAUCCUCCGAACACCUCAUCCAGUCUUGAGAACUACUGACACACCGAUCCCACGUGUCACCUUCCAACACCAUCACGAGGUCCGAGCUCAGAGCGCCGGC
ensembl:lncRNA